rnacentral:lncRNA from 1 species
AAACUUUUAUACUGCUGUUACUCAAUAGCAAUAAUUUGUUCAAUUGUUCUCUGAGUUUUGUAAGCCUGAGGAGGAUGCUGUAAGCAUUGAAAAUGUUAGUUUAUGUAUGUUCAAAUGGAUGAACUGUUGUUUUCAGCUGCAGAAAGUGCUGAGAUUUUGUUAAAUUAGUGCCAUUGAGUAACUGCAGUAUAAAAGUCAAGCGCGUCAAGUGCAUCAUCAUUCAACCUUGAAUUAUAGUCAGUUGAUGAGUCUUGGAUGAUACGGUUUCAAUUUCAUAUCUUUGAGCAUUUGCUGUAAUGAUGUUCUGGGAAUUGUCAGUGUUGCAGACAGAUGGCAUGUUGAUUUGGAUUUGUGGGGUGAUGACUCUAACACCUGUUGCAGCCACUUCUUGUUCUCUGCUGUGUUGACAGUUUUUGGUCUCCCUGCAUGCGGCAUAUCCAGUACAGUUGCAUCGAAGUGUUUGCUUAAACAUGCAGUGGUCUUUGGCUUUGGUGCAUUUGGUCCAUACUCAAGAUGCAUACAGCAAUGAACUUCCUGCAUGUUGUCAGUUGUGGAGUACAGAUGUACACAUCAAAUUCAUUACUCCAGAAGAAUCCUUCUAGUUGCCAUUUCAGAAGUUCAACCUGUAAGAUAAAAACACUUCAAAACAUUGCAAUAUGACACUUCUGCUACAUGUUACAAGUUGAACUUAUCAGAGAAUGCACUUCUAGAAGUUAUGACGAUUCAAACUGUAAUCUACUACUAAUGGCAGGGAUACUCAACCUACAGGGUAGGCUGAGUAUCCCUGGUCCAAAAUAUUCCAAAAUCUGUAACUUUACUUUUAUAACAUGGAACUGUAUCCCUAGGACUAUGAUUCACUGUUGUGCCAUGAAAGGUGACACAAUAGUGCAUGAAUAGCUAUAGUGCCUUGUUGUGAUUCAGUAAAUCAUCAAACAUUGUCAGUAAACUGAUGGUUUAAUGAAGUUAUAGGAGAGAUGUCUGUGAUUAAUUUUUUAUUGUGUUGUUUAUAUAUAAUUAAAAAUGUCAAAAGUCUGAUAGUGAAUUUUUUUAUCACUUCUCUUCAAUGUAUGUAUGUAUGUAUUAUACAAUAUGAUAUAUUACAGGGCAACUUUUGUAUAGCCUUAGUCAAAAGUAUACAGUAUAACUUACAUUCCAGAUAUACAUAUA